UGAAAUAUGUGGCAAUUGCAAGAUAUGUUUUUAGAAUAAUUAGUAAUGAUGUAAUUUUAGUUCAGUUUCAACAAAUGGAUGAUAGACUAUUUUCUUUGUAAAUUUAGUUGCUACAACUAUUUUUAAUAUAGAUGAAGGUAGCAAAUAAUUAACAUUGAAUUUUAUAUGCUCUUAAUACUUUAUAUACUUGCACAUGAGUUUGUCGCCACUAAUGUAAGGAUCUUAUUUCAGUGACCAAUUGCAAAUAUUUUGACAAAGAUCACACACAUUGGAGUCUUAAUUACACAUACAUAGUACAGCUUAGAGAUAAGUUGAAUUUCAUUUGAAAGAAAGUGAUGUUUGUUAUGGUGCACUUUCCAUGAAUGAUGUAGUUCACUUCAAUUCACGUCACAAUUUCUCUGGUCCUAGAUGUAGAUGCUUCCAUCAACGAACGGUAGAAAUAGAAAGCACUAGGAUGUGUUCCAACCAAAUAAAGUAGUAGAUAAUUA
rnacentral:lncRNA from 1 species